UACGUAGGGGGCAAGCGUUGUCCGGAAUCACUGGGCGUAAAGGGCGCGUAGGUGGCCCGACAAGUCAACGGUGAAAGCUCGAUGCUCAACAUCGAGUCGGCCGUCGAUACUGUCAGGCUGGAGCACUGUAGAGGCUCAUGGAAUUCCGGGUGUAGCGGUGGAAUGCGUAGAGAUCCGGAAGAACACCGGUGGCGAAGGCGGUGAGCUGGGCAGUAGCUGACACUGAGGCGCGACAGCGUGGGGAGCAAACAGG
rnacentral:rRNA from 1 species